UACGUAGGGGGCUAGCGUUGUCCGGAAUCAUUGGGCGUAAAGCGCGUGUAGGCGGCCCGAUAAGUCCGCUGUGAAAGUCCAGGGCUCAACCCUGGGAUGCCGGUGGAUACUGUCGGGCUCGAGUCCGGAAGAGGCGAGUGGAAUUCCUGGUGUAGCGGUGAAAUGCGCAGAUAUCAGGAGGAACACCCGUGGCGAAGGCGGCUCUCUGGGACGUGACUGACGCUGAGACGCGAAAGCGUGGGGAGCGAACAGG
rnacentral:rRNA from 1 species